CGCGGCUCCGGUGGACCUCCUACUGGCACCGCGGGACCAGGGCGAGGGGUGGUGAAAUUGCCUUGCGCCUAGGGCGCUAAAACCCCUAGUGCCAGUCCUG